CGAGAAAACUUUGCAAUGUGCGAAAGCACGACAAGGUUAAUCCGAGUGGUUUCUGCUAAAGGAACCUUUUGCCAGUCCUAGAAGCACUGGUGGAUAAGGGGUGGGCAAGUUCUGGUGUCAGCCGCCGCGGUAAAACCAGCACCUCAAGUGGUCAGGAGGAUUAUUGGGCCUAAAGCAUCCGUAGCCUGUCCUGUAAGUUUCCGGUUAAAUACAUUUUGCUCAACAAAUGGGCUGCCGAAAAAUACUGCAGGACUAGGGAGUGGGAGAGGUAGACGGUACUCGGUAGGAAGGGGUAAAAUCCUUUGAUCUAUUGAUGACCACCUGUGGCGAAGGCGGUCUACCAGAACACGUUCGACGGUGAGGGAUGAAAGCUGGGGGAGCAAACCGGAUUAGAUACCCGGGUAGUCCCAGCUGUAAACGAUGCAGACUCGGUGAUGCCCUGGCUUGUGGCCAGUGCAGUGCCGCAGGGAAGCCG
rnacentral:rRNA from 1 species